rnacentral:rRNA from 1 species
AACGAACGCUGGCGGCAGGCUUAACACAUGCAAGUCGAGCGCCCCGCAAGGGGAGCGGCAGGCGGGUGAGUAACGCGUGGGAACGUACCUUUUGGUUCGGAACAACUCCGGGAAACUGGAGCUAAUACCGGAUAAGCCCUAACGGGGUAAGAGUUAUCGCCGAAAGAUCGGCCCGCGUCUGAUUAGCUAGUUGGUGAGGUAACGGCUCACCAAGGCGACGAUCAGUAGCUGGUCGGAGAGGAUGAUCAGCCACACUGGGACUGAGACACGGCACAGACUCAUACGGGAGGCAGCAGUGGGGAAUAUUGGACAAUGGGCGCAAGCCUGAUCCAGCCAUGCCGCGUGAGUGAUGAAGGCCUUAGGGUUGUAAAGCUCUUUUGUCCGGGAAGAUAAUGACUGUACCGGAAGAAUAAGCCCCGGCUAACUUCGUG